rnacentral:rRNA from 1 species
CCGGCGCACGGGUGAGUAACACGUAUGCAAUCCACCUGUAACAGGGGGAGUAACCCGGAGAAAUCCGGACUAAUACCCAUAAUAUGGGCGCUCCGCAUGGAGAGUUCAUUAAAGAGAGCAAUUUUGGUUACAGACGAGCAUGCGCUCCAUUAGCCAGUUGGCGGGGUAACGGCCCACCAAGGCGACGAUGGAUAGGGGUUCUGAGAGGAAGGUCCCCCACAUUGGAACUGAGACACGGUCCAA